UACGGAAGGCAGCAGUGGGGAAUAUUGCACAAUGGGCGAAAGCCUGAUGCAGCUAUGCCGCGUGUAUGAAGAAGGCCUUAGGGUUGUAAAGUACUUUCAUCGGGGAGGAAAAAACAAAACUAAUAAUUUUAUUUCUUGACGUUACCCGAAAAAGAAGCACCGGCUAACUCCGUGCCAGCAGCCGCGGUAAUACGGAGGGUGCUAGCGUUAAUCAGAAUUACUGGGCGUAAAGAGCACGUAGGUGGUUUUUUUAAAGUCAGAUGUGAAAUCCCUGGGCUUAACCUAGGAACUGCAUUUUGAAACUGAAAUACUAGAGUAUCGUAGAGGGAGGUAGAAUUCUAGGUGUAGCGGUGAAAUGCGUAGAUAUCUGGAGGAAUACCUGUGGCGAAAGCGGCCUCCUAAACGAAUACUGACACUGAGGUGCGAAAGCGUGGGGAGCAAACAGGGAUUAGAUACCCCG
rnacentral:rRNA from 1 species